AUUAGUUUAAGUCUUAAAACUUUUGCUCUUCUCUAGAAAAUUCAAACCAUAAUGAAAUAUAAGGAGAUGCGGUAAAAUUUCCAAUUAAUCAACUUUCCACCAAAGACGAAAUGACGGAAAUGCUAGCCUUCUUACAUUGCUACUACAUUUCAGAUCUCCAAAUUACCAUUCCAUUAUAUGAACUGCAUAUUCAAAAAUAUGCAUUGUCACCAAAUUACUUAUAGAGCACGUAUCAUCAUAUUGUUUAACAUUUGUCCGUUCGACCGUUAAUCCCGCACUUAGUAUAUAUAGGGUUAAUUCGGCUAAUUAUUUAGGACUACAGUCGUUUUGCUUCAGCUUUAAAACUAUGUACCUGGUGUUAGUACUCAUAUUAUGGGUGCGCAUAUCGUCUGGAUUUUCUUUUUUGUUUCAUGACAGGUUGCUGGAUUAGGCAUUUUGAUAAAAUACAAAGGCACACAGAGUACAGACUCCGGCU
rnacentral:lncRNA from 1 species